ACAACCGAUUAACUCUUUUACAAAAUAUCGAAAUUUUUAACUGCCACUUUCUGCACUCUGGUGGAAUUUUCAAGCCAGAAUAUAUUUUUAUAUUUGAUUGCUAAAUCCUUUGGCUGCUCGGCUUAUCUUGAAUUUAUGUAUUUUGCCUCGUAAAAAGUCUCUAAAAGUGGAUGCAUGUAGAUUUAAAUUUUCGCUCGCAAGUGAAAUGUUGCAUUUACUUAUGGUCUUAAAUAUUAUACUGGUCCGCUUCGGAGUGGAACCAAAACAAGAUUCUGGAGACUCUGAUUUUGGAGGCAAUCUUAUAUCACAGUUAGGAAAUGAUGAAAAUUUGGAUCUCUCUCACGACGAGGAGUACGAAGAUUUGAGGGCAGAAUUUCUUGCCUACCACACUGCCUUAGCGUCGAUUGCUUCUGAUGGUCGAAGGUCGAUGCUAACUACACCUUGCUGGAAACUUGGUGGGAUUUGUAUCAACCACAACCUUUGCACUGGAUUCAGGUUUCUCACAGAGGUCCCCGGAUGCAAGGAUAAGUUAAAGGUUUGCUGCUUCGUGUGGAAUAAAUUCAAUGUAAGGGAUCAUAGAGACGAGGGGAUCGGCUCGCUGGCUAUGCCUUGGACGUUGCAGAAGGAGUUUGGUGGAGAAGGCGUCGUUGUGGUUGACAAAAAAGCUAAAUCGAAAAAAAAUAAAAAGAAAACUCUGCGAUCAGCUUUGAGAUCCACUCGUAAUCGUAAUGACAAUGACUUCAAGAGAAUCGCUUUUAUAAUAACGGUAUAAGGACAAAUAAAUAAAAUGUUAAGACUGA